UGGGCUCGAAAUGCAGGAGAACGGGGUAGAAAUAUCCUUUUCUCGCAAGAGACUGCUGUAUAGGUGCUGCAUGGCUGUCGUCAGCUCGUGUCGUGAGAUGUUGGGUUAAGUCCCGCAACGAGCGCAACCCUCAUCCCUAGUUGCCAUCGGGUCAAGCCGGGCACUCUAGUGAAACCGCCCCGGAUAACGGGGAGGAAGGUGGGGAUGACGUCAAGUCCUCAUGGCCUUUAUGUCCAGGGCUACACACGUGCUACAAUGGUCGGUACAAACCGUCCCGAACCCGCGAGGGAGAGGUAAUCGGAUAAAGCCGACCUCAGUUCGGAUUGGAGUCUGCAACUCGACUCCAUGAAGCUGGAAUCGCUAGUAAUCGCGGAUCAGCAUGCCGCGGUGAAUACGUUCCC
rnacentral:rRNA from 1 species